UACGUAGGGGGCAAGCGUUGUCCGGAUUUAUUGGGCGUAAAGAGCGUGUAGGCGGCUGGGUAGGUCCGUUGUGAAAACUCGAGGCUCAACCUCGAGACGUCGAUGGAAACCGUAUGGCUAGAGUCCGGAAGAGGAGAGUGGAAUUCCUGGUGUAGCGGUGAAAUGCGCAGAUAUCAGGAGGAACACCGAUGGCGAAGGCAGGUCUCUGGGCAUUAACUGACGCUGAGGAGCGAAAGCAUGGGGAGCGAACAGG
rnacentral:rRNA from 1 species